rnacentral:rRNA from 1 species
CGGGUGAGUAACGCGUGAGUAACCUGCCUUACACAAGGGGAUAGCCUUUGGAAACGAAGAAUAAUACCCUAUAAAACCAUAAAAGCACAUGCUAGAAUGGUAAAAGUGAUAGCGGUGUAAGAUGGACUUGCGUCUGAUUAGCUAGUUGGUGAGAUAAAAGCUCACCAAGGCAACUAUCAGUAGCCGGCUUGAGAGAGUGUACGGCCACAUUGGGACUGAGACACGGCCCAG